CCCUUAGAUGUCCUGGGCCGCACGCGCGUUACACUGAUGCAUUCAACGAGCUUAUAACCUUGGCCGAGAGGCCUGGGCAAUCUUGUUAACGUGCAUCGUGAUAGGGAUAGAUUAUUGAAAUUAUUAAUCUUGAACGAGGAAUUCCUAGUAAACGCAGAUCAUCAAUCUGCAUUGAUUACGUCCCUGCCCUUUGUACACACCGCCCGUCGCACCUACCGAUUGGAUGGUCCGGUGAAGUUCAUGGAGGGGCGGUUGUUUCAACUGCCGUUGAAGUGAAAUGGACCUCACGAUUUAGAGGAAGGAGAAGUCGUAACA
rnacentral:rRNA from 1 species